rnacentral:lncRNA from 1 species
AACCACCUGAGAUUUGUAGAUGAUAUAAUACUGUUUGCUCAAACACCAAAUGAACUGCAGGAAAUGCUAAGUGACUUGAAGACAAAGUGAGAAACUAGGACUGCAAAUAAACUACAAGAAGACAAAGGUAAUGUUUGAUACAGAAGUAAUCCCACAACCAAUGACAAUUGAAGGCCAGACAAUUGAAAGGGUGGAAAGAAUACAAAUAUUUAAUACUUGUAUUCUUUCUGGCUUUCAAUUGGUCCAACCUCCUUGUGUUGUGAAUAUAAGUAAUCACAGCACAAAAGACCAAAUGAAAGAAAUUCAAUAUGGGAUGCAAUUGGGAUGGUAUGCCUGUGGCCCAAUAUAGUAACAUCCUAAAGGACUAUAGGAUACCAAUAUGCCUCAAAAGGAAACUCUUCAGCAUGUGCAUACUAUCAGUAAUGACAUAUAGCU